AUGGCUGCAACCAUGAAUUCCAGUGCUAGCCUCCCUGUUCCACUGCCCGACUUGGGCAAGUAACUCUGCCUGGCUUACAUCUGUAUGUAGUCUGAGGAAACACGCGAAUUGAGUUUUAAUAGAAACUGAUGAUUGAUGACAAGAAAUAUUACUUAUCUGGGAGAAACCCAGAUAUGUGUGACCCUACCAUUGACCAUUACUCUCGAGUCCAUGGGCUCUGGUCUACUACAAACAGCUGAAGAGAGUUUUAUUGCUAGAUCUCAACAGUAUACAUGGCAUCUUCUUACAUCACAUUAGGCUGGAUCCUCACAAACCCCAGCAAACCCCCAUCGUUUCUACGGUCUUAUUUGGCACAUCCACAAGAGCAAAAAUGCUGCGGGAGAAGCCUCAGACAUUGCCAUUGCCUGGGAAAGGAAAUGAGAAGAAGGGUGGAGAGCAUCGUGAACUCAAGGGCUUACUGGGGCUUUCAGAAGAGGAAACAGAACUUGAUAACCAGACAGAGUUCAACACUGCCCACAACAAGCAGUUUUCAACCUUCACCACUGAGAAGAGAAAUCCGGACAUUCAGAGACCAAAGAGGAAGAGGAGGAACUCGCGAGUGACGUUCAGUGACAAGGAUGAAAUCAUCAACCCAGAGGCUGUGGAUAACUCAGUUGGUCACUACCCGAACAUGGUGCAAAUGGCAGUGGUCUCAGUAAAGAAGAAGUGGGAGGAAGUCCAUGGCUCCCUGGGCCUGGGAGAGUCAGGCAGCGGACGCAGACAGAACUUUGCCUUCAGCAGAGGACUUUAUGGGGGCUUGCCACCCCCCCCCCACACACACACUCACAGGGAAGCAGUCUCUCAGCAACAUGGCAUCCAUGGGAUGGUGCUCAUCAGCGGCUUGCCCAUGCCAUACCCAAACCUUGCCCCAGAUGUGGACUUGACUCCUGUGUGCUGUCGGUAGUGAACAUGAACCCCACACUAAACCCUGCUGUCUAUAAUCCUGAAGCUGUAAACGAACCCAAGGCAUGCCCGUCUAGAAGCCUACUCCUUCCUUACUGA